AAUGAACAAUACAGAGAAGAUUAGCCCAGUCCCUGCUCGAGAAUGACAUACCAAUUUGUGAAGUGUUUUAGAUUUUC
rnacentral:snRNA from 1 species